rnacentral:rRNA from 1 species
UUCUGCAGCAUCGACACCGCCUCCUUGUCAGUGAACCAGGUGAAUUCUCCAUCAUCAAGUAUAGCCAUCUCAACAGGGAGCAAAUCAGAAGUCUUCUUGUCCGAGAUCGCCUUCUGCACUGCGCCGGCUUUCCCAGCCCCAGUUACCACCAUGGCGACAUAUGCGGACGAGUUGAUCACCGGAAACGUGAACGUGAUUCUCUGUGGCGGCGGCUUUGGAGAGUCCAAGAUGUGGGUGACCCACUUUGUGUUCUCUUUAACAAGAGGAUGGCCUGGGAAGAGAGAGGCGAUGUGGCCGUCCGGGCCCAUGCCAAGAAGCUGGAGAUCGAACCUGGGAAACCCAGUUGUCUUUGACAUUGCAAGGACGCCAUUCUUAACAAGUUGCUUCAAGAUAGUUUCAUAG